rnacentral:rRNA from 1 species
CCAAUAGCGUAUAUUAAAGUUGUUGCAGUUAAAAAGCUCGUAGUUGAAUUUCGGGGUUAGUAGGUCGGUCAUGCCACUGGUAUGUACUGGUCUCACUGAUUCCUCCUUCCUGAUGAACCGUAAUGCCAUUAAUUUGGUGUUGCGGGGAGACUGGACUGUUACUUUGAAAAAAUUAGAGUGUUUAAAGCAGGCUAACGCUUGAAUACAUUGGCAUGGAAUAAUGAAAUAGGACGUUCGAUCCUAUUUUGUUGGUUUCUAGGAUUGACGUAAUGAUUAAUAGGGAUAGUUGGGGGCAUUAGUAUUCAAUUGUCAGAGGUGAAAUUCUUGGAUUUAUUGAAGACUAACUACUGCGAAAGCAUUUGCCAAGGAUGUUUUCAUUAAUCAAGAACGAAAGUUAGGGGAUCGAAGACGAUCAGAUACCGUCGUAGUCUUAACCAUAAACUAUGCCGACUAGGGAUCGGAUGAUGUUAAUUUUUUAAUGACUCAUUCGGCGCCUUACG